rnacentral:rRNA from 1 species
UCCAAGGCUAAAUACUCCUGACUGACCGAUAGUGAACCAGUACCGUGAGGGAAAGGCGAAAAGAACCCCGGCGAGGGGAGUGAAAAAGAACCUGAAACCGUGUACGUACAAGCAGUGGGAGCACCUUUAUGGUGUGACUGCGUACCUUUUGUAUAAUGGGUCAGCGACUUAUAUUCUGUAGCAAGGUUAACCGUAUAGGGGAGCCGCAGGGAAACCGAGUCUUAACUGGGCGUUAAGUUGCAGGGUAUAGACCCGAA